UACAGAGGGUGCGAGCGUUAAUCGGAAUUACUGGGCGUAAAGCGCACGUAGGCGGCGCGGUAAGUCACUUGUGAAAUCUCUGAGCUUAACUCAGAACGGCCAAGUGAUACUGCAGUGCUAGAGUGUGGAAGGGGCAAUCGGAAUUCUUGGUGUAGCGGUGAAAUGCGUAGAUAUCAAGAGGAACACCUGAGGUGAAGACGGGUUGCUGGGCCAACACUGACGCUGAUGCGCGAAAGCCAGGGGAGCAAACGGG
rnacentral:rRNA from 1 species